AUUAGUCCCGUAUCUCAUAGGCUCAAACAUUGAACGAAGCAGUAAAGUAAUCAAGCAUAAAGAUUACAUAUAAAAUAAACUGAAAUGAAUUAUUUCGUGCCAAUUCGGCAAUAUUUAAUGGAAGAAAGAAACUGGAUAACAAAGACAUAAAAUUUAGAAAAACAGCGAUGCUAGUUUCGUACACCACAUGGGACGAGGGCUAGCUACCGAGCGCUCGGUGGUCCGUGGUCGCGCUGCUUAGUUGUGCUGUUUUUCAAAAGGAACGUGCAGUCAUGGCGUGCGUAAAUUAGACUUUGUCGAAUUAGUGUUCGGCAGCUUCAUCUGUGGAAGACUUUGACUUCAGGCAAACGCCGGACAAGUGUUUACGCCUGUGACAAGACGGAUAUAUGGACCCAUUGUGUGCGGAAUGCUGCCUGCCAAUUGUCAGCGAUGCAGCCGUUUGAAGCAACGCUGUUUCAUUGGUCACGGGUGAAUGGCACAGAUUCAUCAGCUGCGCAGCCCGAAACUUCACCAGUAUAUUGGUUGAGAAAAUACAGCACUGCAUGAAAGCCGAGCGGAGGAAAUCUUUGCACUGAAUGUGCACCCAUGCAAAAGGAACCUCGGCGAAGACCCCAAACCCGCACUGACCCCGGAGAAGGUCAACGUCGUUGGAGCGACCCUUGCCCAUUGGGCCCGCUCAACAAAAAAUGAAGCGCUGGCGGCAGCAACCAACUUGACCAAUGUGCUGUCUGAAAAAAUCCAGGAUAGUGUGAAGGCUGAGCGCCGAAGAGAAAGGGAGGUUGUGCGCAGUCCGGCAUUAUGAACAUUU